UGCAAGUCGAACGAGUUCUCGUUGAUGAUCGGUGCUUGCACCGAGAUUCAACAUGGAACGAGUGGCGGACGGGUGAGUAACACGUGGGUAACCUGCCCUUAAGUGGGGGAUAACAUUUGGAAACAGAUGCUAAUACCGCAUAGAUCCAAGAACCGCAUGGUUCUUGGCUGAAAGAUGGCGUAAGCUAUCGCUUUUGGAUGGACCCGCGGCGUAUUAGCUAGUUGGUGAGGUAAUGGCUCACCAAGGCGAUGAUACGUAGCCGAACUGAGAGGUUGAUCGGCCACAUUGGGACUGAGACACGGCCCAAACUCCUACGGGAGGCAGCAGUAGGGAAUCUUCCACAAUGGACGCAAGUCUGAUGGAGCAACGCCGCGUGAGUGAAGAAGGCUUUCGGGUCGUAAAACUCUGUUGUUGGAGAAGAAUGGUCGGCAGAGUAACUGUUGUCGGCGUGACGGUAUCCAACCAGAAAGCCACGGCUAACUACGUGCCAGCAGCCGCGGUAAUACGUAGGUGGCAAGCGUUAUCCGGAUUUAUUGGGCGUAAAGCGAGCGCAGGCGGUUUUUUAAGUCUGAUGUGAAAGCCCUCGGCUUAACCGAGGAAGCGCAUCGGAAACUGGGAAACUUGAGUGCAGAAGAGGACAGUGGAACUCCAUGUGUAGCGGUGAAAUGCGUAGAUAUAUGGAAGAACACCAGUGGCGAAGGCGGCUGUCUGGUCUGUAACUGACGCUGAGGCUCGAAAGCAUGGGUAGCGAACAGGAUUAGAUACCCUGGUAGUCCAUGCCGUAAACGAUGAAUGCUAGGUGUUGGAGGGUUUCCGCUCUUCAGUGCCGCAGCUAACGCAUUAAGCAUUCCGCCUGGGGAGUACGACCGCAAGGUUGAAACUCAAAGGAAUUGACGGGGGCCCGCACAAGCGGUGGAGCAUGUGGUUUAAUUCGAAGCAACGCGAAGAACCUUACCAGGUCUUGACAUCUUUUGAUCACCUGAGAGAUCAGGUUUCCCCUUCGGGGGCAAAAUGACAGGUGGUGCAUGGUUGUCGUCAGCUCGUGUCGUGAGAUGUUGGGUUAAGUCCCGCAACGAGCGCAACCCUUAUGACUAGUUGCCAGCAUUUAGUUGGGCACUCUAGUAAGACUGCCGGUGACAAACCGGAGGAAGGUGGGGAUGACGUCAAAUCAUCAUGCCCCUUAUGACCUGGGCUACACACGUGCUACAAUGGAUGGUACAACGAGUUGCGAGACCGCGAGGUCAAGCUAAUCUCUUAAAGCCAUUCUCAGUUCGGACUGUAGGCUGCAACUCGCCUACACGAAGUCGGAAUCGCUAGUAAUCGCGGAUCAGCACGCCGCGGUGAAUACGUUCCCGGGCCUUGUACACACCGCCCGUCACACCAUGAGAGUUUGUAACACCCGAAGCCGGUGGCGUAACCCUUUUAGGGAGCGAGCCGUCU
rnacentral:rRNA from 1 species